ACGGUAGCAGUUGGAAUGUGUCUGUCUGAGUCAAUGAGUACAUUUCAGACUCCUGCUGCUUCAGUCACGCUGGUUGAACUUGGGAUAGAUACCAGCCUUCAGAACACAAUGGACGGACAGGCAUAUGGGAGAGAUGGAACAAAAGGAAAAGCCUGGAUAGAGGGCGAAAAAAGAAAGGAUGACGACCUGGGUCAGAAGGAAAUGUUGGUGAUGGUGAAGGAAGAAUGUGCAGCGAAGGAGGGAUCAGCGAAGGUGGAGAUGGAGGAGAGAGGUCACUGGGGCAGCAAGACAGAAUUUCUCCUGGCCGUAGCAGGGAACGUGGUGGGCCUAGGUAACGUGUGGAGGUUCCCCUACCUCUGCUACAAAAAUGGUGGAGGGGCGUUCCUGGUGCCGUACCUGGUGUUUGUGGUGACCUGCGGGUGUGCCCUUGUUCCUGCUGGAGACGGCCAUGGGACAGUACACUCAGGAGGGGGGCAUCACUUGCUGGAAGAGGCUGUGCCCACUGGCCGAGGGUAUCGGCUAUGCAGGGCAGUUGAUCCUCCUCUACAGCUGUAUGUGUUACAUCAUCAUUCUGGCCUGGGCUCUGUUCUACCUGGUCUUCUCCUUCAGCGCUCAGCUCCCCUGGGCAAGCUGCACCAACCCCUGGAACACUGAUGACUGUGUUGACUUCUCUCAAAACCGUACUUUCAAUUGGACCGGACAGAUGAACUCAACCUCUGCAGCCACUGAAUUCUGGGAGCGUCGUGUGCUGGCCAUCUCGGGGGGUAUAGAGGAGGUGGGCAGUGUCAGGUGGGAGGUGCUGCUCUGUCUCAUCGUUAUGUGGGUCAUCUGCUACUUCUGCAUCUGGAAAGGGGUCAAGUCAACAGGCAAGGUUGUAUAUUUCACUGCUACCUUCCCCUACGUGAUGCUGCUGGUACUACUGAUCAGAGGCCUGACUCUGCCAGGGGCCCUGCAGGGGGUCCUCUUCUACCUCUACCCUGAACCAGACCGGCUCUCUGACCCCCAGGUGUGGAUGGAGGCCGGCUCCCAGAUCUUCUUCUCCUACAGUGUGGGAGUGGGCUCCUUAACCGUGCUGGGCUCCUACAAUACCUACAACAACAACUGCUACAAAGACUGCCUGUGGCUGUGCUUGCUGAACAGCGGCACCAGUGUGGUUGCUGGGUUCGCAGUCUUUUCAGUCCUGGGGUUCAUGGCUCAUGAACAGGGAGUCCCCAUUGAGGAGGUGGCUGAGUCAGGUCCUGGGCUGGCGUUCAUAGCGUACCCUCAGGCAGUAGCCAUGAUGCCCCUGCCUCAGAUGUGGGCUGCUUGUUUCUUCAUCAUGAUCAUUCUACUGGGUCUGGAUACACAGUUUGUUGCCAUGGAGGUGGUGAUGACGUCAGUAUCAGACCUGUUUCCCACAGUGCUGCGGAGGACUGGGCGCAGGGAGCUCUUCCUCCUCUUCUUCUGUCUCACCUGCUUCUUCUUCCAACUCAUCAUGGUCACAGAGGGUGGGAUGUAUGUGUUCCAGCUGUUUGACUACUACGCAUGUAACGGAACCUGUUUGCUCUUCCUGUCUGUGUUCGAGUCCCUGGCCAUGGGAUGGAUAUUUGGUGCAGAGCGUAUGUAUGGUGUAAUAGAGGAUAUGACAGGGAUGAGGCCUAACCUCGUCUUCAAGCUCUGCUGGCUCUACAUGACCCCUUUAGUUUCCCUGGUGUCGUUCAUCUGCUCUCUGGUGGAGUACCAGCCCCUGACCUUCAACCGCUGGUAUGUGUACCCAGAAUGGGUGUAUGUUCUGGGCUGGCUGUUGGCCCUCUCCUCCAUCGUCCUGGUCCCCGGGUGGGCCCUGCUGCAGAUCUGCACCGGGACAGGCAGCCUUAGAGAGCGUUUCCUCCACUUGUGUCGGCCAGACCAUGACCUCCUGUUGACCCGGAAGAGAAAGGCUGUCCUCUGGAGCAGAGAUGGAGGUACUCAUGACUGCAGCAGGGGAAAGCACAGACAAAUAAAGUGACACACGCCUAGAAAAGCUUCUGUGUCAAAGCUCUUCGUAUACUGAACAUAUAUUUUAACACAACACCUAGCUGAACUCUUGUAUCUUUACCAACAUGUUGAGAGAAUACCAUUGAUAAUGAACAAUGGUGCACGUUUCAAUAGAGUGUCAUCACGUUCCAUAUUUGAAGUGUUGCCACCUUACAUUUGAAAGGACAUAGCUCAAGCACAGAACGUCAAGAAACCUAGAGACACUGUAGAUUGUCAUUGUACAAAACAAUGUUCUUUCAACUGUCCCCACUCAAGGCUUAACAUGGGUUACUGGCAGCUCAUGACUUACCUUUCUGAAGUCACUCACUCCAGUUUCCAUGGUAGCAGUUGUAGUCACAUAUAAAAGGUCAUCUAGAUUCUGUCAGUUUCUUAUUAUGAAAGACUACUUUUGGCUAAUAUACAGCAACUCUGACUAAUGGCAUUUUUGUUCUGUAAAUUAGUGCUUUACCUCGACGUUAGCCUUCACUUCCAUUUUUAUAAUCCUUAUUAGACAUCAGAAACAGGAUGUUUUUCUAAAAACACUCAUUAAAGUUGAUCAAAAAUUAA